rnacentral:rRNA from 1 species
GACAGAGGUGCCGAGCGUUAGGCGGAAUCACUGGGCUUAAAGCGUGUGUAGGCGGGUCGUUUAAGUGUCUUGUGAAAUCCCCCCGGCUCAACCGGGGGAAUGGCUGGGCAUACUGGCGAUCUUGAGCAGUCUAGGGGCAGAUGGAACAAGUGGUGGAGCGGUGAAAUGCGUAGAUAUCACUUGGAACGCCAACGGUGAAGACAGUCUGCUGGGGACUUGCUGACGCUGAGACACGAAAGCCAGGGGAGCGAACGGG